GCGAAAGUAGCUCAGUUGGUAGAGCACAACCUUGCCAAGGUUGGGGUCGCGGGUUCGAAUCCCGUCUUUCGCUCUA
rnacentral:tRNA from 1 species